rnacentral:rRNA from 1 species
CAGUAGCCGCGGGAAUACAGAGGGUGCGAGCGUUAAUCGGAUUUACUGGGCGUAAAGCGUGCGUAGGCGGCUUCUUAAGUCGGAGGUGAAAUCCCUGAGCUUAACUUAGGAAUUGCAUUCGAUACUGGGAAGCUAGAGUAUGGGAGAGGAUGGUAGAAUUCCAGGUGUAGCGGUGAAAUGCGUAGAGAUCUGGAGGAAUACCGAUGGCGAAGGCAGCCAUCUGGCCUAAUACUGACGCUGAGGUACGAAAGCAUGGGGAGCAAACAGGAUUAGAUACCCCUGUAGUCCCUGUCUCUUAUAU